rnacentral:rRNA from 1 species
AUUGAACGCUGGCGGCAGGCCUAACACAUGCAAGUCGAGCGGGAACUUCGGUUCUAGCGGCGGACGGGUGAGUAAUGCGUAGGAAGCUACCCGACAGAGGGGGAUACCAGUUGGAAACGACUGUUAAUACCGCAUAAUGUCUACGGACCAAAGUGUGGGACCUUCGGGCCACAUGCUGUCGGAUGCGCCUACGUGGGAUUAGCUAGUUGGUGAGGUAACGGCUCACCAAGGCGACGAUCCCUAGCUGGUUUGAGAGGAUGAUCAGCCACACUGGAACUGAGACACGGUCCAGACUCCUACGGGAGGCAGCAGUGGGGAAUAUUGGACAAUGGGCGAAAGCCUGAUCCAGCCAUGCCGCGUGUGUGAAGAAGGCCUUCGGGUUGUAAAGCACUUUCAGUAGGGAGGAAGGGUUGAGUGUUAAUAGUACUCAGCUUUGACGUUACCCACAGAAGAAGCACCGGCUAACUCUGUGCCAGCCGCCGCCGUAACAC